GAUGAACGCUAGCGGCAGGCCUAACACAUGCAAGUCGAGGGGUAGUUACUUUCGGGUAAUGAGACCGGCGCACGGGUGCGUAACGCGUAUGCAAUCUACCUUUUACAGGGGAAUAGCCCAGAGAAAUUUGGAUUAAUGCCCCAUAGUAUGUAUGAAUCGCAUGGUUUAUACAUUAAAGUUCCAACGGUAAAAGAUGAGCAUGCGCCCAUUAGUUAGUUGGUAAGGUAACGGCUUACCAAGACGAUGAUGGGUAGGGGUCCUGAGAGGGAGAUCCCCCACACUGGUACUGAGACACGGACCAGACUCCUACGGGAGGCAGCAGUGAGGAAUAUUGGACAAUGGGCGCAAGCCUGAUCCAGCCAUGCCGCGUGCAGGAAGAAGCAUCUAUGGUGUGUAAACUGCUUUUGUACAGGAAGAAACACUCCCUCGUGAGGGAGUUUGACGGUACUGUAAGAAUAAGGAUCGGCUAACUCCGUGCCAGCAGCCGCGGUAAAGUACAGU
rnacentral:rRNA from 1 species